ACUGGCCUACAAAGUCCCAGUU
rnacentral:miRNA from 1 species